GGAUGCAUUAUUGGGCUAAUCUUCUUUGGCAAAUAUAGCCACAUUUCACUUCACUAUUAAUAUUUGGUGCAAAUUUAGUCAUUAAUUGCCAAAGAAGAUUUGCCCCAUGAUUUAACC
rnacentral:pre_miRNA from 1 species